UCUCGACUAGUAUAUCGGUUAGUACACGCGCCUGUCAUAAAAAAGGCUAAGACCUGUGCGCGCGAAAGCUGGGUUCGACUCCCAGGUCGAGAG